CCCUUAGAUGUUCUGGGCCGCACGCACGCUACACUGAUGCAUUCAACGAGUCUAAAACCUGCUCUGAUAGGGGUGGGUAAUCUUUUGAAUGUGCAUCGUGAUUGGGAUAGAUGAUUGCAAUUUUUCAUCUUCAACGAGGAAUGCCUAGUAAACGCAAGUCAUCAGCUUGCAUUGAUUACGUCCCUGCCCUUUGUACACACCGCCCGUCGCUCCUACCGAUUGAAUGAUCCGAUGAAUAUCAUGGAUUGAGGAUGCAAGUAGGUUCGCCUAUCUUCAUCUUCGAGAAGUGAAGUAAAUCUUAUCAUUUAGAGGAAGGAGAAGUCGUAAC
rnacentral:rRNA from 1 species